CAUUCUCUCUUUUACACAUAGGGUUAUACCAACUGCAUCCCUUUCUUCAGCCGCCGUUCUCCCUUUUCUUUUUACAGCAAAUAAACACAUUCCUUCACUAUCCAAUUCAGUCCAAUCUCUCCAUGUAACCAAAACCAGUACUAGUUAUAUUUCUAUGCUAUUCCAUUUCAUCAGGUAAAAUGGAUGAGCCGGCCAACAACUUGAUGCAGACAUGCAUCUAUUUCUGCAGAUCUAAUGCUUAUGCUUCAAAGCCAUGCCGGAUUAACAUAUCGACUAUGAUUUUCUUGAUUAAUUAUGCAUCACGGUUUAUGUCUUAGUUUUGACAUAAUUUUAUCUUAUAUUAUAAA